CUAAGAAUAUUCCGCAAUGGGGGAAACCCUGACGGAGCGACGCCGCGUGGAUGAUGAAGGCCGGAAGGUUGUAAAGUCCUUUUGGGCGCAAAGAAUAAGUACGCGAGGAAAUGCGCGUGCGGUGACGGUAGCGCCUGAAUAAGCAACGGCUAAUUACGUGCCAGCAGCCGCGGUAACACGUAAGUUGCGAGCGUUGUUCGGAAUUAUUGGGCGUAAAGGGCAUGUAGGCGGUCGUGCAAGCUUGGUGUGAAAUCCCGGGGCUCAACUCCGGGACUGCGUUGAGAACUGCACGGCUAGAGUAACUGAGGGGCAGCCGGAAUUCCAGGUGUAGGGGUGAAAUCUGUAGAUAUCUGGAAGAACACCAAUGGCGAAGGCAGGCUGCCAGCAGAUUACUGACGCUGAGGUGCGAAGGUGCGGGGAGCAAACAGG
rnacentral:rRNA from 1 species